GAGUUUGAUCCUGGCUCAGGACGAACGCUGGCGGCGUGCCUAACACAUGCAAGUCGAAUGGAACUUUUUUAAAAGAUUUCUUCGGAAUGAAUUUGAUUAAGCUUAGUGGCGAACGGGUGAGUAACGCGUGAGUAACCUGCCCUGGAGUGGGGGACAACAGUUGGAAACGACUGCUAAUACCGCAUAAGCCCACGGAUUCGCAUGGAUCUGCGGGAAAAGGAUUUAUUCGCUUCAGGAUGGACUCGCGUCCAAUUAGCUAGUUGGUGAGGUAACGGCCCACCAAGGCGACGAUUGGUAGCCGGACUGAGAGGUUGAACGGCCACAUUGGGACUGAGACACGGCCCAGACUCCUACGGGAGGCAGCAGUGGGGGAUAUUGCACAAUGGGGGAAACCCUGAUGCAGCGACGCCGCGUGGAGGAAGAAGGUUUUCGGAUUGUAAACUCCUGUCGUUAGGGACGAUAAUGACGGUACCUAACAAGAAAGCACCGGCUAACUACGUGCCAGCCGCCGCGGUAAUUC
rnacentral:rRNA from 1 species